rnacentral:rRNA from 1 species
AUUGAACGCUGGCGGCAUGCUUUACACAUGCAAGUCGAACGAGCGGCGAACGGGUUAGUAAUAUAUCGGACCGUAUCGAGUACUGGGGGAUAACCAAUCGAAAGAUUGGCUAAUACCGCAUAUUAUUCGAGCGGCCGAUAACUGAUUAGCUAGUGGGUGGGGUAAAGGCCUACAAAGGCAACGACAAGGAGCGGGUCUGAGAGGACGAUCGGCCACACUGGGACUGAGACACGGCCCAGACUCCUACGGGAGGCAGCAGUGGGGAAUUUUGGGCAAUGGGGGAAACCCUGAGGCAGCCAUGCCGCGUGUAUGAAGAAGGCCUUCGGGUUGUAAAGUACUGUUGUUAGGGAAGCGGUACCUAAAGAAUAAGCAACGGCUAACUACGUGCCAGCAGCCGCGGUAAUUC